rnacentral:rRNA from 1 species
GUAGGUGGCAAGCGUUGUCCGGAAUUAUUGGGCGUAAAGCGCGCGCAGGCGGUUCUUUAAGUCUGAUGUGAAAGCCCACGGGCUCAACCGUGGAGGGUCAUUGGAAACUGGAGAACUCGAGUACAGAAGAGGAAAGCGGAAUUCCACGUGUAGCGGUGAAAUGCGUAGAGAUGUGGAGGAACACCAGUGGCGAAGGCGGCUUUCUGGUCUGUAACUGACGCUGAGGCGCGAAAGCGUGGGGAGCAAACAGGAUUAGAUACCCUGGUAGUCCACGCCGUAAACGAUGAGUGCUAAGUGUUAGGGGGUUUCCGCCCCUUAGUGCUGCAGCUAACGCAUUAAGCACUCCGCCUGGGGAGUACGGCCGCGAGGCUG